UACGGCUGCAAGCCAAGUCUUUUAUUUAAUCAAAAUUCAUCGUCCCAAAUAACAAUGUAAGAUAGGUUUAAAUACUAGAAAAUAAUGCAAACCUAGGGCCAAGCCCAAUACAAAAGUCCAUAAAAUUAAAAUAACUUAAAUUCCAACUAAAAUAAUUAAAAUUGCUAAAAUUAAUUAAAAUUGGAUGUCCUCAUCAAUUCUCCCGGGGUGGGAGAGAAAACUCGACCCUGUCGAGUGGCUAUAUCACCAUAGGCAUCUGUCAAUCUCCCAACCAUAAGCUGAGUGGCUGGGCAAGCUUCUUCCUGCGUCUGUAGAAAUGCGUCAGUGGCGGUCUGAACCUGGUGUCCUCACCAACUCCCCUCGGGUGGACGGGAGGCGAUCUGGGCCAAGGAAGAUCCUGCUGACUCCGAUAAAGCUCUAGCAAAUCUGGAUCCAAAUGCUGUAGUGUCUCCCUGGAAAUCCAUGCACAAUCAGAAUCUGGUCGACCAACCCAACGAACAAGGAAGCGCUGAACCUCUCCAUCAUUAGUGAACAC
rnacentral:lncRNA from 1 species